CUAUUAUUUCCUUCCUUCCAGGAGAAAUUUAUUGAAAGAUGGCCUCCUGCAACUGCUCAAAAUGCAACAUGCUGCCCAGGUCCUGCUCAGACCACUGAUAACUCAGAAGUUAACACUCAAGAGAGGAAAGAGCUCACGGUCUGCUGGACAACUGUGCUGACUGGAAAGGAAGGAAGCAUCUGAUGGCUAGGUCACUUGUCCAACAUCAGGCAGAGGCAGAUCUGGAAUUCAAACAGCCAGACUCCAAUGUGUUUCCUUUAACCACUUUUCUCACUUUUCAACUUGAUUCCACACAUCACUGCCGGGAAAACUUAGAAAAAUUAGCUGGGUGUGGUGGCAGGUGCCUGUAGUCCCAGCUACUCAAGAGGAUGAAGCAGGAGAGAAUCACUUGAACCCCCGAGGUGGAGGUUGCAGUGAGCUGAGAUUGUGCCAUUGCACUCCGGCCUGGUGACAGAGCAAGACUCCAUCUCAAAACAAAUAAACAAGCCAAAAAACAACA
rnacentral:lncRNA from 13 species